rnacentral:rRNA from 1 species
CAAUAGCGUAUAUUAAAGUUGUUGCAGUUAAAAAGCUCGUAGUUGGAUUUGUGGUGUACGCCGGCGGCCCGUCGCAAGACGGAGCUUGCUUGCGUCGCCAUCCUUGGGUGGAUCCUGUGUGGCAUUCAGUUGUCGUGCAGGGGAUGCCCAUCGUUUACUGUGAAAAAAUUAGAGUGUUCAAAGCAGGCUUAUGCCGUUGAAUAUAUUAGCAUGGAAUAAUAAGAUAGGACCUUGGUACUAUUUUGUUGGUUUGCGCACCAAGGUAAUGAUUAAUAGGGACAGUUGGGGGUAUUCGUAUUCCAUUGUCAGAGGUGAAAUUCUUGGAUUUUUGGAAGACGAACUACUGCGAAAGCAUUUACCAAGGAUGUUUNCAUUA